UACGAAGGGGGCUAGCGUUGCUCGGAAUCACUGGGCGUAAAGCGCACGUAGGCGGCUUUUUAAGUCAGGGGUGAAAUCCUGGAGCUCAACUCCAGAACUGCCUUUGAUACUGAGAAGCUCGUGUCCGGGAGAGGUGAGUGGAACUGCGAGUGUAGAGGUGAAAUUCGUAGAUAUUCGCAAGAACACCAGUGGCGAAGGCGGCUCACUGGCCCGGUACUGACGCUGAGGUGCGAAAGCGUGGGGAGCAAACAGG
rnacentral:rRNA from 1 species